UACGUAGGGUGCAAGCGUUGUUCGGAAUUACUGGGCGUAAAGGGCGCGUAGGCGGCCCUGUCAGUCGGGUGUGAAAGCCCGGGGCUCAACCCCGGAACGGCACCCGAGACGGCGGGGCUGGAGACCGGGAGAGGAGGGUGGAAUAGCCAGUGUAGAGGUGAAAUUCGUAGAUAUUGGCUGGAACACCGGUGGCGAAAGCGGCUCUCUGGCCCGGUUCUGACGCUGAGGCACGAAAGCGUGGGGAGCAAACAGG
rnacentral:rRNA from 1 species